CUGGAGGUAUCAGAAGUGCGAAUGCUGACAUAAGUAACGAUAAAGCGGGUGAAAAGCCCGCUCGCCGGAAGACCAAGGGUUCCUGUCCAACGUUAAUCGGGGCAGGGUGAGUCGACCCCUAAGGCGAGGCCGAAAGGCGUAGUCGAUGGGAAACAGGUUAAUAUUCCUGUACUUGGUGUUACUGCGAAGGGGGGACGGAGAAGGCUAUGUUGGCCGGGCGACGGUUGUCCCGGUUUAAGCGUGUAGGCUGGUUUUCCAGGCAAAUCCGGAAAAUCAAGGCUGAGGCGUGAUGACGAGGCACUACGGUGCUGAAGCAACAAAUGCCCUGCUUCCAGGAAAAGCCUCUAAGCAUCAGGUAACAUCAAAUCGUACCCCAAACCGACACAGGUGGUCAGGUAGAGAAUACCAAGGCGCUUGAGAGAACUCGGGUGAAGGAACUAGGCAAAAUGGUGCCGUAACUUCGGGAGAAGGCACGCUGAUAUGUAGGUGAAGCGACUUGCUCGUGGAGCUGAAAUCAGUCGAAGAUACCAGCUGGCUGCAACUGUUUAUUAAAAACACAGCACUGUGCAAACACGAAAGUGGACGUAUACGGUGUGACGCCUGCCCGGUGCCGGAAGGUUAAUUGAUGGGGUCAGCGCAAGCGAAGCUCUUGAUCGAAGCCCCGGUAAACGGCGGCCGUAACUAUAACGGUCCUAAGGUAGCGAAAUUCCUUGUCGGGUAAGUUCCGACCUGCACGAAUGGCGUAAUGAUGGCCAGGCUGUCUCCACCCGAGACUCAGUGAAAUUGAACUCGCUGUGAAGAUGCAGUGUACCCGCGGCAAGACGGAAAGACCCCGUGAACCUUUACUAUAGCUUGACACUGAACAUUGAGCCUUGAUGUGUAGGAUAGGUGGGAGGCUUAGAAGUGUGGACGCCAGUCUGCAUGGAGCCGACCUUGAAAUACCACCCUUUAAUGUUUGAUGUUCUAACGUUGACCCGUAAUCCGGGUUGCGGACAGUGUCUGGUGGGUAGUUUGACUGGGGCGGUCUCCUCCUAAAGAGUAACGGAGGAGCACGAAGGUUGGCUAAUCCUGGUCGGACAUCAGGAGGUUAGUGCAAUGGCAUAAGCCAGCUUGACUGCGAGCGUGACGGCGCGAGCAGGUGCGAAAGCAGGUCAUAGUGAUCCGGUGGUUCUGAAUGGAAGGGCCAUCGCUCAACGGAUAAAAGGUACUCCGGGGAUAACAGGCUGAUACCGCCCAAGAGUUCAUAUCGACGGCGGUGUUUGGCACCUCGAUGUCGGCUCAUCACAUCCUGGGGCUGAAGUAGGUCCCAAGGGUAUGGCUGUUCGCCAUUUAAAGUGGUACGCGAGCUGGGUUUAGAACGUCGUGAGACAGUUCGGUCCCUAUCUGCCGUGGGCGCUGGAGAACUGAGGGGGGCUGCUCCUAGUACGAGAGGACCGGAGUGGACGCAUCACUGGUGUUCGGGUUGUCAUGCCAAUGGCACUGCCCGGUAGCUAAAUGCGGAAGAGAUAAGUGCUGAAAGCAUCUAAGCACGAAACUUGCCCCGAGAUGAGUUCUCCCUGACCCUUUAAGGGUCCUGAAGGAACGUUGAAGACGACGACGUUGAUAGGCCGGGUGUGUAAGCGCAGCGAUGCGUUGAGCUAACCGGUACUAAUGAACCGUGAG
rnacentral:rRNA from 1 species